rnacentral:rRNA from 1 species
GACGAACGCUGGCGGCGUGCUUAACACAUGCAAGUCGAACGGAAAGGCCCUGCUUUUGUGGGGUGCUCGAGUGGCGAACGGGUGAGUAACACGUGAGUAACCUGCCCUUGACUUUGGGAUAACUUCAGGAAACUGGGGCUAAUACCGGAUAGGAGCUCCUGCUGCAUGGUGGGGGUUGGAAAGUUUCGGCGGUUGGGGAUGGGCUCGCGGCUUAUCAGCUUGUUGGUGGGGUAGUGGCUUACCAAGGGUUUGACGGGUAGCCGGCCUGAGAGGGUGACCGGCCACAUUGGGACUGAGGUACGGACCAGAAGCCAACGGGAGGCAGCAGUGGGGAAUAUUGCACAAUGGGCGGAAGCCUGAUGCAGCAACGCCGCGUGCGGGAUGACGGCCUUCGGGUUGUAAACCGAUUUCGCAUGUGACGAAGCGUGAGUGACGGUAAUGGGUAAGGAAGCACCGGCUAACUACGUG